UUUACGGGAGGCAGCAGUGGGGAAUUUUGGACAAUGGGCGAAAGCCCGAUCCAGCCAUGCCGCGUGCAGGAUGAAGGCCUUCGGGUUGCAAACUGCUUUUGUACGGAACGAAAAGCCUCUUUCUAAUAAAGAGAGGUCAUGACGGUACCGUAAGAAUAAGCACCGGCUAACUACGUGCCAGCAGCCGCGGUAAU
rnacentral:rRNA from 1 species